GAAGAUACCGCUCAGUGGUAGAGGGUGUGCCUAACACGCAUAAGGCCCUGGGUUCAAUUCUCAGUACCUCCA
rnacentral:tRNA from 1 species